AAGAACUCCUCAGCAAGAGACUAACGGGAUAUUUGCCGCAUGCUGGGGACACGUCUGCUCGCGAGCAAAGGAAGCGCGAAGCCGCUCAGGGCAAUCGACGGGCCGAUGGACACAGGAAGCCACACACGCGGAAACGCUCCACAGCGAGUGAGAGUCAGCAGACACAAAGUAAUCAGGACAGUUAGGACUUUAGGACCGACGCAAAAUGGAAGAGUGGUCUUUUAAAAGCUGUAUUAUUGGACUAACUGGCCGGCUCUCAGUCCGCGGCGUAUACAAAUGGACGUUACGGAUGAAAUGCAAAGAAGGAAAGGUUGUCCGGAUUCGGAUAGCGGAGGUCGUGUGAGCGUCUCCCGUGCAAGAUUCCAGAAGCUCAAAUCACGAACAAGACUGAUCUGCCCAGAUAAUUGGAAACGACUUACUUACAACGCCAAUAAACGUCAUAAAAAUGAAAAACACUGGAAUGCAGAGGCUUUUUGUGUCCAAAAGAGAAAACAGUUCACAAAGAAAGAAAGGCAAAUAAUGCGCAUCAUCGUGAAUAAAGCAAACUAAAACAGC